rnacentral:rRNA from 1 species
UAAGAAAGGUUCAAGCAGGCAGAUCCAAUUUUCUGCCACCGAAUACAUUAGCAUGGGAUAAUGGAAUAGGACCCUGUCCUCCUAUUUUCAGUUGGUUUUGGCAGCGCGAGGACUAGGGUAAUGAUUAAUAGGGAUAGUUGGGGGCAUUAAUAUUUAAUUGUCAGAGGUGAAAUUCUUGGAUUUAUGAAAGAUUAACUUCUGCGAAAGCAUCUGCCAAGGAUGUUUUCAUUAAUCAAGAACGAAAGUUAGGGGAUCGAAGACGAUCAGAUACCGUCGUAGUCUUAACCAUAAACGAUGCCGACCAGCGAUUAGGAGACGUUGAAUACAAAACACCACCAUCGGCGCGGUCGUCCUUGGCGUCUCGGUUUCGGCCGGGGCGCGGGGAUGGCUUAGCCCGGUGGCACCGGUGAAUGACUCCCCUAGCAGCUUGUGAAAA